rnacentral:lncRNA from 1 species
GCCAUGUAUCACGUCAUAUGUUCCUGACCAACCCCUAAAUUUUGUAUUAUUGGAGUUUUUUUUCCUUGUUCACAAUUGUAUUUCUAGUGUAUGUCUAAUGUUUGUUUGUUUGUGUGUUUGUUUGUUUUGUUUUUGUUUUGUUUUGUUUUGUUUUUUUUUUGUGUGUGACUUAAUUGAGGAGAAUGAAAUGUUGAAAUGG